CCCUAAAAAGACAAACAAACAAACAAACAAACAAAACCAUGAGUUGAGGGCUGGGGAGGUCCCCAGCUGUUUGAAGGACCACCUGUUUGAAAAAAAAAAAAAAACUUGAAAAAAAGAGUAAAAGAGUAAAAGGAUUAUUUUAGGGAUAGAGCUAGCCCAGGCAAGGUACCAUCUUAAGGGAGUAAGCUGUACUGAAUUAGAAACAGGUAGAUUAGCUUUUCUUGAAAAUAUCCUUCCUAAAGAUAAUUAAGAGGAAAUGCCUGGCAUGAUGCAUUUCAUAUUUGGUGCAAGUGAGUCUGGAGACAGGGAGGCAAUUCACUGAACCCACGUACACAUCAGUUAACUUUGAUGUUACCACCCAAUGUAUACAUACUAUACAGAUUACCAUAAAGCCUUCCACUGGCUAAUGUGUCUCAGUGAUCUGAUAGACUCUUUGUGUUUACACUUUUGUUUUAAAUCACUGUCUUGUUCUGAAGUACCACAACCAUCAUCCCUACCACAUCUACCAACAAAAUCUCCAACUCAUCAGUAGUUUAUUCUAAAAACAGAAAUUUAAAACCAAAUAUCUGCUUUAUCAUCUUACCUUUUAAACUGCUAUCAUUGGACAUGCUCACAAUUCCUAAUAAGGAAAGUAAAGAUUGGUUAAACUAAUUAUUAGGUUAGAAAAGGGCAUGUCAAGAUUGGCCCACUCUACGAAAAAUGUGACUCAUUCUCAAGUUAUAUGUGUGUAUGUAUAUGUGUGUGAACAAUCUUGUUCUCAUACCUCUAAAAUGUCCACUGAGUAAUCCAGGGAUUUUCCCCUGUGAUUUCAGAACAGAGCCUUGUAUACAGCAGGUGCAUUCUACUUAACUGCACUGUAUUGAGCAUCUACCAGAAGGAGUAGGGCAAAUAAGCCUCACAGUCAAGGUUAUCCUCAAAAAACUCUUCAUUGGCUUAUGCAAUACAAUACAGGGACAGUUCUCACUGUUUUUCUCCAACAGUGGAUCUGAUUGCUGUUUUGUUUUGUUUGUUUUUGCUUGGGAACCAGAUGAAUCAGCUGGCUCUGAUGUACCCCCAAACACUUUUCUUUCAAAACUAGCCUUACAUUCAGCCCCACCUCUAAGAGGUGCAAGGGAAGUAGAACCAGCUGAGCCAACAUCAGGUCCGUCUCCUCAUCUCGCUGAUUCUGGGGCCUGUCCUCGAGUGAGUGGGUGGUUGGAAUGUCUACACUAUUCAAAGUGUUAUUUCUUUCUCUUUCUUUUGAUGGGGGAGAGACAGGCCAAGUGCACAUAGUUGAAUUUGUAUCAUAUGAUAUGUUAUGGCUCUACAGUAAAUAUUUAUUGAAUCAAUAAAUAUUUGAGAUGUUAGUAGGUAUUAUUUGAUUCAGUUGCUCUGCUAACUCUUGUCUGAAUAUAAAUUAUUUUUCUUCACUGAGAAAAAUCAAUGGUUCAAAUGGCUUUUAGAAAGAGCAAAAAAUGUGAAAAAGACUAAAAGAAGAAAUUACCAAUCACUUUAAGAAAGAAAAAAACCCCCAAACCAAAAACCCAGUCAGACUGCUUAGAUGAAAGCCUUGCCAUAAAUAUUCUAAAUUUCUUAGGGGUACAAUAUAUAGCAAUACUGGGAAUUUUAAUACCAUCACUAAUCAUUUGAAAUACUCUGACAUCCUUUCACUGUAAUAUUUGUGUAUUUGGUGGAAACGUUUUGAAAAGUCAUUCCACUAGCCAACAAAAGUCAUUUUAUAGUUAUGAUGUAAUUGUAAGGUAGUAUUUCAGGGCUGUCAAGAUCAAAGACUUGAUAUAUGACUUACAGAAAAAAAAGUUCAAGAGAGGCCCCUCCAAACAACCUUUUAAAGGAACUAACCAAUAGCAUCUCAUCUUCUGUUUUCUUUUGGCUUUUAGAACUGGAAUCAUACAAAAGAUACAUUCUCCAGAGGCACACGAAUUAAAAUUAAAGAGUGAAAAUAAAUAAUCCUAGAUGAAACUUUUCCCUUUGAUUUAAACAGUGAGAAAUUAUAUAUAUAUAUUCAGUGUAUUGGUAAUAAAAAUAGGGAAACUGUAGUCAAAUUGCGAAUUGGGCUCAAAAUGAAACCUGAAAAUGAAUGUCAUGAAAACUACUUUAAGGUUAUUGCACUGGCUGAAGGCAAUUUUUUUUAUGCUUGUACAAUAUAUGUCUAGUUUAUCUUCUUGGCCUUAUAAGCCAAAACUAGAGAUUAUCUUAAAGAAUGAAAGUCCUUUAUGUACAAUAAAACCCAAGUCAUCAUAUAAGUUUUUCUACAUUUUUGCUUACUGACCACUGCAAGUUCAGCUAUAAACAGUGAAUAGGGUCUGAGUGGACUGAGUGGAUGAAUUCAGAAAGUUGUUUAUUUUCUCCAUUGUCUAAGGUGGUAAAGAAAAGAGACAUCAAAUGGUAAUUCUCUCUUGUAGUACUGUCUGACUGCCCCAAGCUAAAAAGGGGAAAGACAGGAGUUCCCUGGUGGUUCAGUGGGUUAGGACCUGGCAUUGUCACUGCUGUGGUUUGAUCCCUGGCCUCAGAACUUCUGCAUGCCAUUGGCAUACCCCUCCGCCCAAAAUAAACAAAUAGGAAGGGGAAAGACAGAAAUCCAAACAGCAUUUGUUCAUGUAUGAAGCAUUUUUAAAUGAUGAUUUUUAAAAUCAUGAUCUACCAACCUUUUAAAAGAAAAGUAGGGAAAAGUGUUUGUGGUGCUUCCCUUCCUCCUUCUGGAUACCUCAGAGUAGGACUCCAGGCCAGCAUCCUUCAUUUGUCUUUCUUGACAGAUUUGGCGGAGAACUUCUUAAUUUUUUUGAAGACAAUGGAUCCCCGGGGGUGGAAGAAUCAACAGAAGAUCACAUCACAGGGCCAUGGCCAAGUCCAGCUGGACGUGGACCCGCCGGCCCCACGUCCAUGGAUGUAACCCAGCAGAGAGCAGAGGAUGUAGGAGAUAAAGUUUCUCUGUUCGGGAAGAGAUUGGAAACCAGCUUCAAAGGAAAGAGAGGGGCGUUGUGGUUGAGGUUUGGGUCUCUGAGAAAGACAUCAUUCCAGCCGAAACACUUAACAAACCAAACCCACAGAAUGGGAAAUUCUAGACUCUUUGGUUGAGAGCACCUGGAGCGGGGGUCUUACUGAUCUUUCUCCUCUGGGCUGCAACACUUUCGAUAUGUCUCUCACAGCUUCGGCCUGGAUUAAGCAAGGCCUUGCUUCAUUCUCGGGGGGUUUCUUCUCUGCAACCUGACCACCCCUCGCCAGGCUCUAAGCAGUUUAAAUCCAGAGGCCAUUUUUCCCUCUCCCCUGGAAUCCAUCUGAGUUAUGGCAGGUGGCAGCAUAUCCUAAAUGGGGAUGUACUUGACAAACCCGAGUUCCCUUGAAGACUCCUGCAUCCUUCUCAGAGCCCAGCAUUGUGGUGGCCUGAGGCAGAAACUCAACAAAGACCCAUCGAAUGAACAGGCAAUAAUUGACUAGAAUGGCUCUCUUCCUGGCCAGUUGGAAAACUGAAAUCCCUAUGGACUGCUUCCUGUUUUGCUACACCAGCCUCAUUUCUGGAAGAAGGCAAGGUAAGGAGAAAAUCAGACGAGAAAGGACCACGAAGGCAGGGUCUUGAAUGCAAUCUUUCCCUGAGAAAGAGAAGCUUCGGAACAGGAAACAUGCCUGCAUUUUCUUUCUCUCCCAGGCAGCCUGGUUAUUGUGUUUCUAGGCAGAAAAAGAGAUACUUCCCAGAGCAGCCCAGAGAAGAGGGUUCAGAAAAUCUGGGCCUCCAGGUGCUUUCAACCAGAGUCUAUUGGACUUUUGACCUUUUAAAUACUACAAAAAAAAAAAAAAAAGUUUUUUGUACCUUCUCAUUUAUGAAGUAUAUCCAAGUGGG